GAGUUCCCGAACGAUCGCCGAAGUUAAGCAACGUCGAGCUUGGUGAGUAGCUAGAUGGGUGACCGCUUUGGAAUACCAGGUGCUGUAAG